GUGUGUGUGUGUGUGUGUGUGUGUGUGUGUGUGUGUGUGCGUGUGAUAAAGCACUCAGCACUCAUGCGUGGACACACCUCCACUAUGCCACCCAACUGGUUGUUCCAACAGACUCCAGUUGCACAACCGCUCAGUCAACCAAUCAGCUUUCAUUCAGCUUUCAUUCCAAAGCCUUCACUCACACGUUGAUAUUUUAAAGCGAACAACAACAUUUAUUUAACUGACUAAAGAAACAUAUGAUGUGAUGACACACACACAGAGACACACCUCAGAAUUACGCCAUAGGAGGAGAAGUUAUAAGUAUCGUGUUCGGCAAAAACGAAACAAACCUGGAUGAGCUGGACCCCAGAGGAUACAAAAGUGUUGCUGCUGGAAAUCAAUUGGAAGAGUGCUUAAUACCUGGGCUCGGAGCUCUCCUCUACCACAGGUGUGUGCGGUCAGCAGGGGCAGCGAGAGGCAACACUGACAGAGAAGAGUCAUCUCCACAGGGAAGAGUCAUCUCCACAGACAUCGGUGAAAUCAUACACAGGCAGAGGUGAGCCGGAUGAUGGAGAUGGUAAAUGGGGAUCAGGAGGGUGUGAAGGGUGUGGAGCUGGUGGAUGAGUUUCAGGCAGAGCUGAUCGAGCGCGUCAAGGAGACGCGACGGAUCGCCAAGGUGCUCCUGAAACAGGGGCUGCUGGGUAGUGAGGAGCACCAGGCGAUUGUGACGGGCUCCAGCAGCCGUGAGCGCAUGGCUGGGAUCUUCAGGGCGGUGGAGGCAG